rnacentral:tRNA from 1 species
GGGGCCGUAGCUCAGUUGGGAGAGCAUCACACUGGCAGUGUGAGGGUCAGGGGUUCAAGUCCCCUCGGCUCCACCA